UUCAACUACCCCAAAAAAAUCUCCUGGAAACUACUCUCUGAAAGAAGUUGGAGAAAAAUUAUUAAUGCACUUGAAGAAGAUCAAGAAAAAAGAAAGCGUGAGUAAUGUUUUGGGUGUGACCUCACAAGGCAACUUGCAUUCUUAACUCUGUCUCAGCCCCUGAGAACCCUGAGCUUGUUGGAUAACCCAACCUGCAAAACACAGCUCACAGAUUUCUGAGAAGCCUGAAGAUUCAGGAUCAGGACCAUAGUAAGAUAUGAGUGUCUAGGUAGCAUGACAACAGCCAGAACCACUUCUCAACAAUUGUGUGAUGUGUACACAGCUGCUGCAGUCCUGGACACUCAUCACUGCCACCCAUGACUCUGGAAUUGGGUAUUGCUGUGGACAACAAUACUACUUUGUUCUGGGAAAGAAUGCCCCUUCAUCCUUGCUUCUUUGAGUCACUCAAUGGAGAUUCAAGGUGACAUAUGGGAACAUUACAUUUGCUGAGCAUGUUUGUGCAGCCCUAGGCCUCAGGGGUGAAGGAAAGUGCCCCCUGUUUUGUUCUGUUUUUGCAGUAGGAACCCAGCUCUGUCACUCAGCAAGUCUCAAAGAUGGCCUUAAAUAGGGAGAUCCCACAACAUAACAAGGGAGUUCCACAUAGUGGACAGUCAAAAGCAUGGACACAUCUCCCAUACCGUGGAUCUUCCUAGGGUUCCAAACUCCCCUUGAAACUUACACAUUGGCAGGUAUAAAGUGAACAGCACAAUUGUUCACCUCUGGAAAUAGAAGGGCCACUCCCUAAUCACCAUGGAAAUAUUCCUAAGAAUGUGCCUUUUCUUAUUGGGCAGAAGGCCAGAUAUCUUUUUUUAUCAGUUUUUUCAAUGGCAGUAAUUUAUUUCACAAGGUCACCUUUAAUGGGCCUGACCCAUUUUUCUGCCUAUAUUUUAAUCACAGGCUGUAUCUUCAGCUUCUCCACACUAGAUGAUACCUUAUCCUCCCAGCCUACUGUUCAGUGUUUUUAUGGGCACGCUCAUUCCUCAACAAUACUGGUCCCACAGUAUUUUUCUCUCCAAUCACAACAGAGCAUACCACUGCUGCCUCCAGGCAUGGCAACACCAUGUCUGGCCACCAACAUUGCCAAAUUGGACACCACUUCCACUCUCCUCACUGGAAAUAGAUGCUGUAGCCAUUUAUGCCACUGCUGCCGGAGUAAACUCUCACUUCCUACCACCUCCAUGUCUGCUUUUUUCUAUCACCAAUUCUCAGUCCAUUGCAGUGUAUACCUCUGACUGUGUGAACCGGUGCAUAUGCACAUGUGGAGGCUGCCAAGAAGUCAGAGAAACAGGCAUGUGGACUUUGCAGCUUCUGCUGGGAAUGGUGUUUGUAGGCUUAGAGGCUAAGACAGGAAAGUUGCCCACACAACCAUUCUCAUCCCAUUGUGAGCACUGGAGCACCUACUAUGCCCCUCCUUUCCUUCACUCUGUGUUCUAGCCUCAGCUUAUGACCUACAGUUUUAAUCAACUGUAAAAAGGCAAUGGAGAUUGGCAAUAGUAGGGACUUCACCGCCUCUUGCCUGGAUUCUCUAAUCCACUUACUUCCUUGAAAAGGCAUUUACAAUUCUGUAAUCAUGAGGGGAGAUCAAGAAUUAUGAGAAAGAUGAGAAGUUCAGGGGCUGCAUGAUAUUACUGAAAUUACACAGAGACUCUAAAAUGGUAAAUCAAUGCUCAGAAUUUGCAUUGCAGUCAGAAAAGAUAUGGUUAUUCUGGGAUAGCUCCACUGCUACCAUGUUCCUCCUAGAGGCACAAUGUUCUCUAACAAAACAGUUUUUGCUGAGACUGGAAACACUGAUAACAUAUUUGCAGGCUGUGUGUGCUCCAUGGGGGUUGAAAGCGGGGAUCACUAAUGAUAAUUUUUGAACAACCUUCUUAGGCCUUCCUUGUCCAGUACCUCCUGGGAUGGGGACACUCUGUUCUAGCUAGCCAUGUGUGUCUGUCUUUUGGAGUCCAGAGUGAUAAGCGUCAUGCACAAGUACCAGGUGCUUCUCAGCUUGUAACAGAUUCCAACUUUUCUUGAAUUUGAAGUUGGAAACUCCCUUUGAAAUAUCCAGACAAAACCCCCCAUCUUGUGGAUGGGAAAACCGGAAUCCAGGGAUCCAUCAAAGUUUAAUCUAGAAAUCAGGGGCAGAGCUGGGGCUGGGAACUAUCUGUUCUAAUAUGAUGUCAUUCCCUUUGGUAGAAUGUUGAAAAAGCAGGAGGAUUCAUUAGCCUUUCAAAAAAGACUAGUUGAGGGGUUAAUUUGCCAAAAAGCACAGUGACAAUAGGAAUUCCAGGAAAAUAGAAUAAUCCAAGCCAAAAUGUGGAAUCAAAGAAAAAUAUAGAUUUGAGGAGACCCCAAAGAAGUCAGCAACUCAACUAUAAAGUAACCCUCCACAAUAUGCUAAUUCUGCCACCAUCCAGGUCUUCCGCAUCACCUUGGUGUUCUCACUUGCGGUGUGCCCACUGCACGAGCUUUCUGCUAUUCUACUGCACAUUCACAGCUCACUUGGAAGAAACUUUAGUAAGAUUCUUGGAAUCUUUCUCACAGCAGGAAGAGUCCUAAGAGACCGAGCUACUCCUUUUACAAUAAUUGAGACACAGACCGCUGGCAAAUGAAAUUUGCCCCAAAUUUGGAAGACCAUCUCAUAGGCAUGACAACAAAAGACUCAUGUGUUUGUUUUAACUUGGUGUGGUUUUUUUUAAUUAUGGGGGUAGUUUUAUUUAUUUUCAAAUAUGUAGUAGCUACUUGCAUUACUUUUUAAUAAACCACAUGUUCAUGGUCUAUGUUUAUUUUUCUAUGAGAAGAUCUAUUUUCCUUAUUGUGUUUUAAAAAUUCUUUCAAUAUAUUAUAGAAUAUCUCUAUUCCCACCAUAUGUGUUUAUACAUUUUAAAAAUUUCUGUUUUCUUACUGUAUGCAUGAUUUUCCCUGUAAAACUUUUUAUUUGCUUGUAGUUAAUGAUAUUAAUUUACUUCAGAAAAUCAUUCACGUGUAAAUAUUCUACAAAACUUGUCUCAUGUUUACUUUGAAUACUUUUAUAGUUCGAUCUUUAUGUUUAAAUCCUUGACCACCUAAAACGUACUUUGAAAUAAUGGGUGGAGUGGAAAUCCAGUAUUUACUCCUUGAAUUGCCGGUAAUCAGUCUAAACAUCAUUCGCUGAAUUACUAACAUUUCUUAAGUGAUGUGGAAUUCUGCCCUUAUCAUUUGUAAAAUUCUCAAAGGCAUUGAGUUUAUCUUUUAUUCCAUUGAGAUGUGUGCAUUUUCUCACCAUUAAUGUAUGUUCUAAUUAUGUUGACAUAUUUUUGUGAUAAUUUUGGUGGAAUUAAAAUGUGUCAUGGGUAACUCUCCCAUGACAAUUUAUCAUCAAUAUUUUCCUGGAAAACCUCAAAUGCUUACUUUAUCAGUUGGUAUGUUCAAUUUCAUUAAUCAUUGGAUUUUUAUCUCAUGGGCUUCCAACUUACUCUUCAUUGUUUAUCACUAAAACCCACUAAAAUCUCCAUUUUUUUUUUUUUUUUUUUGAGACAGGAUCUCGCUCUGUCGCCAGGCUGGAGUGCAGUGGCGCAAUCUUGGCUCACUGCAACCUCUGCCUCCUGGGUUCAAGUGAUUCUUCUGCGUCAGCCUCCUGAGUAGCUGGGACUACAGUUGCAUGCCACCAUGCCCAGCUAAUUUUUGUAUUUUUAAUAGAGACAGGGUUUCACCAUGUUAGCCAGGAUGGUUUUGAUCUCUUGACCUCGUGAUCCGCCUGCCUUGGCCUCCCAAAGUGCUGGGAUUCCAGGCGUGAGCCACCACGCCCGGUCUCCAUAGUUUUUAAGAGCGCCGUUAGGCUGGAUAUUCCUUAUACUCUGUUCCUAAUACUGUCAGUUCCUUAGGGAGGACUUUGGAGCUCUCUAUUCUUAUAGCCUGCCUCUCACUUUUGGAAAAUCACUGAGUUCCUUCUAAGGAGCUGUUUUGGAAAGAGUGGUUCACUUUUCUCAGAGUGACAGCCCUGCUUUACCAACUGGGCUCUGACCAUGAGCCAGAACAUCCUCUGAUGUUGUUGGCAGGCAUUCACUGGCAUGAAAAUUCUGCCUGGCAAAUGAGCUGUGCCGAGGGCUAUGGGGGUCUCAGCAUUCUUGACCUACAAUGCCUGGGAUAGAACCUCUCCACUACAAGUAGUGUUGGGUGGAAGAAUGGAGCUCUGUACCUCUUCAUCACACUCACCUGGAAUCUCUGCAAUACAACCUUGGAAUGGGUUUGAGAGAUGCUGGCAACCUUUUGCCUCUGGUGAGAUAUCAUAACCCUUUAAAGGGAAGUGAGAGGAAAGAGACUCUCCCAUUACUUGGCUAGAUGUGCCCUGAGUGAAGCUUCCCUCAUAUUGAGCUAGGAUAUAGAAAGUAUAGAGUGGGUUAUGACUCAAAUGCUGUAGACACUCUGUGUUCUUUCAAGGUUUAGUAGAGUUUUAAAAAUAAAUGUAUGCACUUAAGACAAUUCCCAAAGACUUCAAGUGGCUGUUUUAAAAAAUAACUUUUAUCAAGUAUGAUUGUUUGGUUUGAGGGUAUUUCCAUGGAUCUCCUUACACUGCUAUUCCAGAGGAGAAGCCACCAGGUCACUCAACUCUUAGUAUCAUCUACUGGAAACUGGCUAAGACAGUAUUUAUGUGCUUCUCUCACAAUAACAGGAAGAUAACUAUAUCACACAAUGGAUAUGGCAGUUGGCUUGACUGCAGUAAUCAUUUAACUAUGUAUAUGUAUAUCAAAACAUCAUGUUGCAUACCUUAAAUAUGUACAAUAAAAAUAAAAUCUAAAAGAAAUAAAAUAAAAAUAACUUUC
rnacentral:lncRNA from 1 species